AGGCACUUCCGAGGAGCCAGCCCUGCUCUCAAAGCCAAUGGAAUGACAAUCAGCAUCAUUAGACUUACAUUAAAAUUUAGAGAAAAAGAAAGUACCUAUUUCGAACAAUUGAUGCCAGAGAAACAAUUGAGGCAUAUAAAGAAGCACCAAAUUGAAAGAAUGUUUAGUUUAAACAUUGUGUUUCAGAAUUAAUAGUAUGGUAUUAAGCAUUAACAUAUCACUGCAUUCUAAGAUGAUACAAUUUCAAUAGCUGCCACCUCUUGGAUAGAUUAAAUAUGUUCAGAUUCAUCAUUCACCCACCACGCGGAUAUUGAUGCAUGACCAUCUUUGAAAUACGAUUGAUUUGAACUCUAAGGAAAACUUUCUUUUCUCUUUUUAGCGACUUUUCAGAUACUAGCCAAUACAUUUCUAAUUAUUGCUGCAGAAGU
rnacentral:misc_RNA from 1 species